UACGUAGGGGGCGAGCGUUGUCCGGAAUCAUUGGGCGUAAAGCGCGUGUAGGCGGCUUGAUCAGUCCGGUGUGAAAUCUUGGGGCUCAACCCCAAGCCUGCACUGGAUACUGUCAAGCUUGAGUCCGGGAGGGGAGAGCGGAAUUCCUAGUGUAGCGGUGAAAUGCGCAGAUAUUAGGAAGAACACCGGUGGCGAAGGCGGCUCUCUGGAACGGUACUGACGCUGAGACGCGAAAGCGUGGGGAGCGAAC
rnacentral:rRNA from 1 species